rnacentral:rRNA from 1 species
AUUGAACGCUGGCGGCAGGCCUAACUCAUGCAAGUCGAACAGUAACAGGAAGCAGCUUGCUGCUUCGCUGACGAGUGGCGGACGGGUGAGUAAUGUCUGGGAAACUGCCUGAUGGAGGGGGAUAACUACUGGAAACGGUAGCUAAUACCGCAUAACGUCGCAAGACCAAAGAGGGGGACCUUCGGGCCUCUUGCCAUCGGAUGUGCCCAGAUGGGAUUAGCUAGUAGGUGGGGUAACGGCUCACCUAGGCGACGAUCCCUAGCUGGUCUGAGGGGAUGACCAGCCACACUGGAACUGAGACACGGUCCAGACUCCUACGGGAGGCAGCAGUGGGGAAUAUUGCACAAUGGGCGCAAGCCUGAUGCAGCCAUGCCGCGUGUAUGAAGAAGGCCUUCGGGUUGUAAAGUACUUUCAGCGGGGAGGAAGGCGAUAAGGUUAAUAACCUUGUCGAUUGACGUUACCCGCAGAAGAAGCACCGGCUAACUCCGUGCCAGCAGCCGCCGUAA